GUGAGGAGGGCACUUUAGGUUAUAUAGUGUGGGUGAGGAGGGAACUUUAGGUUAUAUAGUGUGGGGGAGGAGGUUAGUAUAGGAAGCAUAGUGUGGGUGAGGAGGGUACUUUAGGUUACAUAGUGUGGGUGAGGAGGGCACUUUAGGUUAUAUAGUGUGGGGGAGGAGGUUAGUAUAGGAAGCAUAGUGUGGGUGAGGAGGUUAGUAUAGGUUAUAUAGUGUGGGUGAGGAGGGCACUUUAGGUUAUAUAGUGUGGGUGAGGAGGGUACUUUAGGUUAUAUAGUGUGGGUGAGGAGGUUAGUAUAGGUGGCAUAGUGUGGGUGAGGAGGUUAGUAUAGGAAGCAUAGUGUGGGUGAGGAGGUUAGUAUAGGAAGCAUAGUGUGGGUGAGGAGGGUACUUUAGGUUACAUAGUGUGGGUGAGGAGGGCACUUUAGGUUAUAUAGUGUGGGUGAGGAGGUUAGUAUAGGUAGCAUAGUGUGGGUGAGGAGGUUAGUAUAGGAAGCAUAGUGUGGGUGAGGAGGGUACUUUAGGUUACAUAGUGUGGGUGAGGAGGGUACUUUAGGUUAUAUAGUGUGGGUGAGGAGGUUAGUAUAGGUUAUAUAGUGUGGGUGAGGAGGGUACUUUAGGUUAUAUAGUGUGGGUGAGGAGGGUACUUUAGGUUAUAUAGUGUGGGUGAGGAGGUUAGUAUAGGUUACAUAGUGUGGGUGAGGAGGGCACUUUAGGUUAUAUAGUGUGGGGGAGGAGGUUAGUAUAGGAAGCAUAGUGUGGGUGAGGAGGUUAGUAUAGGAAGCAUAGUGUGGGUGAGGAGGGUACUUUAGGUUACAUAGUGUGGGUGAGGAGGGUACUUUAGGUUAUAUAGUGUGGGUGAGGAGGGUACUUUAGGUUAUAUAGUGUGGGUGAGGAGGUUAGUAUAGGAAGCAUAGUGUGGGUGAGGAGGUUAGUAUAGGUAGCAUAGUGUGGGUGAGGAGGUUAGUAUAGGUUAUAUAGUGUGGGUGAGGAGGGCACUUUAGGUUAUAUAGUGUGGG